CUUUUAACAUGCCUUGUAAAUUUUUUUUGACAACUGACUGGACUUUUUAUACCUGGUAAAAGGAACUCCUAUAAGCAGGUUUUCAGUAGUGUGGUGACGAGGCGUGGGGGGAGCAGAGGUGUUCUGUAGUCCUACGAUUAGAUCUCAGUCUCUCAGUGAAGCUAAGCCCCUGGACCGUGAGCUCCACAAGUGCGUCUUUGCUGUUCCCCUGGAGGUGGGACAGGAUAGUUAGGGUUGGAGUGGUUUGAUCCUUGGCCUCAUUCAGUAGGUCAGGGAUCUGGUGUUGAGGUGAGCUGUGGUGUAGGUUGCAGACACAGCCUGGAUCCUGAUUUCCUAUGGCCGUGGCAUAGGCAGGCAGCUGUAGCUCCAAUGUGACCCCCAGCCCAGGAACUUCCCUAUGCUGUAGGUGUGGCCCUAAAAAGAAAAUAAAUAAAUAAAAAUGGUUCCUUUUCCCCUCCCUGCCAGAAGUUUGAGAAGCUUUUUCCUCUAGUAUUUACUGUGGUAGGUUUCCGGGAGGUAAAACUCAAGUAAGUGUGAGAGACUUCUGAUGACUUGGUUCCCCCACCAAGUUUUUAUCUGUCAGAUAAAAGACACACUGAACCUUCAGGAAUUCAUCAAUUACACUUCAUAUUUCCCUGCCCCAGCACAGAGAUAGAGAAUGAGUAUAAGCAAAUCAAAACUUGAGCAAUUCAUAGGACUGAGGAGUUUGUACCUUGAAUGAUUUCAUCUUCAAGUAAUGGAAAACUCUUAUUCAAACUGGCUAAAACAAUGGCAAAUGCAUUAUAUAAUGAGACAUCCAGAAGCAGAGUGGUUUCCAGGGGCGUUACACUAGUGCUAUAGCUCUUCCUCUGCUUCUCUAGAAUCUCCAGGCUCUGCCUGAUUCUGUCAGCUUCAUCUUCAGGAUUUCACAGCUUGACAAAUACCUGGAAGGAGAGGCGGAAUCUUCUCAUCCAAUUCUGUUUUUAAGGAAUAGGUAAAUCUUUACCAGAACUCCUCCCUGCCAUCCCCAAAUGCCAAUAUUUACACACCUCUUGUUGGACAGAUAAAGUUAGGGGCCUGUUCCCAAACCAACAGAAGAUGAGUUGUCUGGCAGGCAGAUACUGGUCACAGGAGGCAACUGGUGUAAUGCUGUGAGGUGACAAAGAGGAAUAGGGAUCUGGAAAGACGUGGAGGACAGCUCUCCGCUGGGGGCCCUCUCCCUGGGCAGUUCUUGGUUGCCAUAGAGUUAGUGACCAUGCUAUCCCAUGGUACUCAUAAUUCCGACAGGAAGACUGUGGCUCUUGAUUAAACUGAUAUUUAUGUAUUGAAUUAGACUCAAUCAACUUGAAGGCUUUGCCCCUCACUUUAUUUUAAAUUGGUCACAGCAAAGUUUCACAAAAAUGGGUUGUGUGGUAAGGAAGAGAAAGUUAUGUCUUGGCCUCAAGAUUGGAAAGCUCACCAGCUGUUGCUUAGGUGGCAUAAUCUCGUGAGCAUUUUACCCUAAAUAAUAAUGGGCAAAUUGUAAAAGUAUUAAGAAUGACUGGAUUCUGUGUAAGAAUCUAGCCACACCCAAGGAAAACUCUGUUACUAAUGUGGAAAAAAUCAGGCGGCUUUCAACAAAGCUACAGUCAUUAAAACCGUAUGGUACUGGCACAAAGACAGCAAUAUAGAUCAGUGGAACAGGAUAGAAAGCCCAGAAUUAAACCCACACACUUACAGUCAACUCAUCUAUGACAAAGGAGGCAAGAAUAUAUAAUGGAGAAAAGACAGUUCCUUCAGUAGGUCAUGCUGGGGAAACUGGACAGCUACAUGUAAAAGAAUGAAAUGAGAACACUUCCUAAUAGUAUACACAAAAAUCAACUCAAAAUGGAUUAAAGACCUAAAUAUAAGACUGGAUGCUAUAAAACUCUUAGAGGAAAACACAGGCCAAACACUCUCCGACAUAAACCACAGCAACAUCUUCUCAGAUCCACCUCCUAGAGUGUUGACAAUAAAAACAAAAAUAAACAAACAGGACUCCAUUAAACUUAAAAGUUUCUGCACAGCAAAGGAAACCAUAACAAAAUGAAAAUACAACCCACAGAAUGGGAGAAAAUAUUUGCAAAUGAAGCAACUGACAAGGGAUUAAUCUUCUAAAUUUAUAAACACUUCCCACAGCUUAAUACCAAAAACAGAUGACCCCAUCAGAAAAUGGGCAGAAGAUCUAAACAGACAAUUCUCCAAAGAAGACCUACAGAUGGCCAAAAAAAAAAAAAACAUGAAAAGAUGUUCAACAUCACUAAUUAUUAGAGAAAUGCAAGUCAAAUUUAUAAUGAGGUACCACCUUAUACUGGCCAGAAUGGCCAUCAUCACAAAGUCUACAAACAAUAAAUGCUGGAGGGGGUGCGGAGAAAAGGGAACCCUAUUACACUGUUGGUGAGAAUGUAAAUUGGUGUAACCACUAUGGAUAACAGUAAGGAGAUUCCUUGGAAAACUAAAAACACAAUUACCAUUUGAUCCAGCAAUCCCACUCCUGGGCAUCUAUCCAGAAAAAACCAUGACUCAAAAAGAUACAUGUCCUCUGAUGUUCACUGCAGCACUAUCUGCAAUAGCCAAGACAUGGAAAGAACCUAAAUGCCCAUCGACAGAGGAGUGGAUCAAGAAGAUGUGGUACAUACACAUAAUGGAAUAUUACUCAGCCAUUAAAGUGAACGAAAUACCGGCAUUUUUAGCAACAUGGAUGGACCUAGAAAUUACAUGCUACGUGAAGUCAGUCAGACAAUGAGACACCAGCAUCAAGUUCUAUCACUGACAUGUUUGGAAUCUGAAAAAAGGACACAAUGAACUUCUUUGCAGAACAGAUGCUGACUCACAGACUUUGAAAAACUUAUGGUUUCCAAAGGAGACAGUUUGGGGGGUGGGAGGAUGCACUGGGGGUGUGGUAUGGAAAUCCCAUAAAAUUGGAUUGUGAUGAUCGUUGUACAAUUAUAAAUGUAAUAAAUUCACUGAGUAAUAAAAAAAUUAUAAGUGGAAAAAAUGAUGUGGUACAUAUACACAAUGGAAUAUUACUCAGCCAUUAAAAGGAAAGGAAUAAUGGCAUUUGGAGCAACAUGGAUGGACCUAGAAAUUAUUGUGCUAAGUGAAGUCAGACAGUGAGACACCAACAUCAUAUGCUAUCAGGUACAUGUGGACUCUAAAAAAAAGGACACAAUGAACCACUUUGCAGAAUAGAUACUAACUCACAGACUUUGAAAAACUUACGGUUUCUAAAUGAGACAGGUUGGGGGUGGGGGAAUGCAUGGGGGGUUUGGGGUGGAAAUGCUAUAAAAUUGGGUUGUGAUGACUGUUGUACAACUAUAAAUGUAAUAAAAUUCAUUGAGUAAUUAAAAAAUAUAUAAAAAAUGAAAGUCUGAAAAAAACCCUCAAAUGUGGGGGAAAAAAAAUCAUGCCGCUUUCAGAACUAGCAAAAUAAUUUUUGGUUGACAUUUGAUCUCAAAGCUCUUUUUUAAUAAAUUCAAGUGCUUCUGGCUAAAAGAACUAACAUACUUCAACUUUAAUGUAAAGAGGUUUUUUUUUUCAUGCUGAAACUCUAACCAAACAGGUUAGUAAUGUCUUUACUCUUGUUUAUAGCAGUUUAUUCGUCUAAGGGUCCCACAGAAGAAUAAUUACAGGGAAGACACCAAGAAGAAGAGUAUCUGUCAUCCACAUAUACUAUCGGAGGUCUUGCCUUGUCCUUUUUCCCCAUGGUUUGAGGCAAUUGGUAGCCAGUGAUAAAUGAGUUGUCUCAUGCACUUUGAUGUUUCCAAAAUCUCAAAAACACAGUAGCAUGAAUGUCAAGCUUUGAGGGACAUUAAUUAUUUUUGAAUGGUGAUGUUUAUCCAUAAAUCUUAAUAUGAAGCUGUUAUAAAACAGCGUUGAGCUGACUCUCUAAGUUGAUAAAUGUCAGGUAAACCCCUUAGUUGGAAACACAAGGGUAGAAUUAAUAUAAGGGCAACACCUUCCAGGAAUCAGCUGGAUCAGAGCUGAAGAAUUUUUUUUUAAAGAUGAGCUAUAAACUAAAAAGGUUAAGUGAACCAAAAAAUAUAAAACAUGCUUUGACUCUCAGGUACUGUCUAAGGGUUUGGUUAGGUGAAGCUAAGCGUUGGGUGGGAAAUACACCUAAUACAUUGAAUACUUAUGUGAGGCAUUGCUCUCAACUUUUUUGUGUAGUAGUUUGUUUAAGGCUUAAGAGAACCCUAUGAAGUAGGUGCAACUAUCUCCGUUUUGUAGACUGAAGAACUGAGAUACAGCAAGCUUAAGCGAAGAAGCUCAUAGCUGAAAAUGGGGGUGGCCAGGUUUUGUACCCAGGCAGUUUGAUAUUUGUGAUCAAAUGCUGUAUAAUUUGGCCCUGGGCGUUUGGGGAUAGCUGUCUGAGAGAACAGUCUCUGCUAUGCUCAGACUCUUCGGUCAUGCGGUGUUCGAUGCAAGACUCCUUAGAGUUCAAGGGCAGGAAUUAGGGAGCCAGACCCCUGCCACUUAGCAGCCAGGUAACUGUGAGUAGGUUACUUAACUGCCUUCUCUCCUGCUGGGCUGUGAAACGGGGCUAAUCAUUACAGCUAGCUGCAACCCAGGUUUAGCGGUCAGAAGAUCUCUAGAAGGUUGUAAUUCAGCAGACCUGGGACAGGGCCCAGGAGUCUGCAUUUGAAACAAGCACCUCAAUUACUUCUGAUACAAUCCAGUGUCCUUUGGGAAACACAGAAUUCUGCCUCACAGGAGAGGUGAGGAGGCCAGGCCCGUGACACACAGGGCACAGGCUUUGCACGUGAUUGGUGGACAGCAAGGGCCACCUGUGUCUGUUUCCCUGUUGCAGAGAUGCAACUGGGUCAGGACAGAGUGGGGGCGUCUCAGGGCUCAGAUGAUGUGGCCGAUGCAGGGACCUCGUGUGCUAGGAUGAUAGGAAGACAAGGACCCAUAUUCUGGAACCCUCUCUUUGGGGAGAAGUAUCAUGAGGAGGAGGAGGAGAGAGAGGAGCUUCCAGGGCCUCUUAUUUUCAUCCCCAGGUCUCCUGCAGGUUUAACAAAAGAAACAUACUCUCUUUAAAAAGUCCCUCUGCUCAUUCCCUCGCCAUCUUUCCUUAGGUACUUGUACAUGACAAUUUUACUGCGAACAGUCUUUCACUCGACAAUUUCAUGGGAAAAACAGAAUUCUGAAGUCUAGAUGAGGUAAUGUUUAGUUGGAACGUAUUUCAGCAAAGUGUCACGAGUCAGCUGUUGAACAAAUGCAGACGCCCAUUUAAUAAACCUGACCUUGUUUUGCUUGAGUGAAGCAGUGAAGAAGAGAGGAGCUCUUGGCACACCUGAAACAAAGGCAGGAGACCCCUGGGAAUG
rnacentral:lncRNA from 1 species